rnacentral:lncRNA from 1 species
CAUUUCUUGGGCCACUCCUGCAGCAUGUGGAGAUUCCCAGGCUAGGGUUCCAAUCGGAGCUGUAGCCACCAGCCUAUGCCAGAGCCACAGCAACGCGGGAUCCGAGCCCUGUCUGCAACCUACACCACAGAUCACAGCACCACCAGAUCCUUAACCCACUGAGCAAGGCCAGGGAUCGAACCCGCAACCCCAUGGUUCUUAGUCGGAUUCAUUAAUCACUGAGCCACGAUGGGAACUCCCAGAUGUUUAUUUCCAUUUAACUCCUUUAUUACUCUCUCCCUGGAGACUUCAAAAUUUGGUCUAGAGCUACUCCUUGAACAGAUUCCUGAUCUAGCACUUAGAAGUGAUUGCACUAAGAUUUUAUUUGGAAACAGACAACAUUCAUCUCAUUGUACUUAUCACUGUAAUCACAUGCAUUGUUAAAGGAGUAUUAUUACCAAUCUUACUUGCUAUCAUUGUGCCCUCUUGCUGAAAUGCCUAUCUAGAACUCACAUUUGUUCUAGAACUCACAUUUUCAGUGAGUAAAGUAAUUCUAGUGUAGGUUUUCUUAUUGGCCCAACUAAUGCAUUCCCAUUUGUUGAUCUUAAUUAACAUUUAUGCAAUUUCUUUUCCAUUUCCCAUGGAAUUACUGUAUGUAAAAUUUUGUAUAUUAUUCUUAUUGUGCCUCUGGGCAUAUUUCCAGUUCUACUUCCCGUCAUGAGUUGUUUUAUUGUUGGUCUCAUUUCUUGCCUUUUUUUUAUGCUUUUGCCAUUUAUUUAAAUUCAUCAAACACUUAUUUCAGAGCCUCGUGAAAUUAUUUUGAGAUAUGUUACUUGAAUAUGAUGAAACUCAUGCAAACACGGCCAAUUAGAUGAUUACAUGUAUAUCACUGGCUUUAAAUUUUUCUACUGACUGUCUGAGAUGAGUUCCACAUAUUAAAAGAAAUAAGGUCAUCUCCAGAACAUAACCCAUAUAUAUUCAUUUUCAGGUUAGUUUCUAUUAGAAUGUGAUAUAUUAACUAUGAAACAUUAAUCACUUCUAUUUCCAGUCUCUUUUUCACUGAGAGAAAAUAUUUGUUUAACAAUAUGAAAAUAAAAUUACAGGCAAUCACACAAAUGAUGUUAUUUGUGUAAUAAUUAUUUCUUAAUAUUCAGAGAAUCUAAAUUUUCCACCUUGAUAGUUAUUUCCUUAUUGAAUGAUAGCUUCUCUCAAAGUAACUUCUGAUUGAAGCAAUAGUAUCUUCAGAAAAAAGCUAAAUUGUUCUCUCUCUCUCUAGGAGUUUUAUUUUACUUCCCGUUUUGUCAGUUUUCUUCAGCCACAUUUAAGCAGUAGGACACUGCCCACAUUGCCUGCCUUUGCUCUCACCCCAGCAGGUUGACCUCAGUGACUGUGUUGUCUUGUUGACCUCCUUCAUGUUACUUAUUUAAUUUAAUUCCCCUGUCUGUUUUUCCACAUGUGGCCACACUGGAACACCCUUCUUGGCUUCUGCCUUGCAGAGAGAGAGACCUCAAAAAUGCACCAGAACAACUUACAUUGAUAUCCCAAGUACAUGGACAUGGGGAUUUUUCACACUCCAAGGGAUUUCCCCCUUUGAGUGACUAACUUUGGUUGCAAAAGUCUCAAUAAAGAUUAUCAUUAAGUUUUCAAACAUAUGCAUAUGCAUUAUCUGUAGGACAUUUGUUUGAGACUAUCUAUCCCAUAUGCAUAUUCAUUGGCAUAUGUUUAUUUCUGCACUCUGUGUUUGCUAGCUUGAGCAAACAUUACUUGGCCCUUAAGAACCAUGAAAAACACAACAUUAUGCUGUUUUUCUUUCAAAAUUUAAAGGCUGAGAAAAUUGCAGUCACUACAGCAUUUACAGAGACAAACAGAGAUUUAGACCAUUUAUUUUUAUUUGGUUGUGCAAAGUGUUAAAAGAAACACAUCUCAAAUAAUCAAGAGAGUGGUGACUAAUUAGGGGAAUUAUUUAUGUUAACACAAUAGCAGCAUAGAUACUAUAGAUGAGGGGAAACCUAUAACUACUUCACAGAUAUGAGAUUACAAACUCACAAAUAGAAUAAUAAAUAACUUUUUUCUUGUUCAAAAAUAUCCUAAUUUCUUUCUCUUAGGAGGUAAUGUGCAAACUUGAUACACAUAUUAUCUAUUGAAUUACAGACUAUUGAAAUCCAACAUUUCUACCCUUGAUAGUGAGAAAAAAAUGAAUUCCAUAUCUGCUAGUUCAUUCUGGAAUAUGUCCCACUAUAGAAAAUGGUAUCCAUGUACUUUCUUCCCAAGUAAGAGAAAUUUAAGAAAUCUUAAAGACAAUGAUCCUAAAUUUUACAAUCUUUCUGACCUUUCUACUUCCAGACUAAUCUUUUUUAAAAAUACAACAUUGAUUUUCCAGAAAAGCAUUCUGUGGGUAGUUAGUAUCUAUUAGUGGAAAAGCCUUAUCUUAUAUAUUUCAAGUUUUUUUGAUACUGAAUUUUGAGACUCUCUGGCUUUGUUUUUCACAUUGUUGAGUAUUCGAGAUAAGAUUAUUCACCUUUUGUCUCCCAUUCUUUCAUAUUUCUUUCCUCUCUUCCUAAUGCCUUCUUGAUACAAUAAAGUUUAUCAAUAUCAGUAACUACAUGCAAAAAAAAGGGAAAAUAAAGAAUCUGGGCAACUCAAGUGAGAUGUAUGUGAAAUCAAUGAGUAGACUUGUCAAUAUAAAUUUGCAUUAUAAAUGAAUUUUAAAACUUUAACCUAUUCUUAUACUGCUUGUUUUAUACACAUUUAUCACCUUCUAGAGUAUCACAGAGAAAUAUAGGUCAGUGUAAUUUAGGUGUAGAAGCACCAAAUGGUAAUAUUAAAAUUUGUAAUUCUUCGCCACUUUCUACAGUAUUCUUAAAAUUUUAUAAGAACAACCACACUCUUAAGAUUGCAUCCUAAUUUUUGGUUUUGUAUAUUGGAAGGGAAUAUAUAAGACCAAGUACCAGGAUCUGGAAUUGUGUGAAGAAAGGAAUAGCUAAAAAUGACUUCAAUUCCCAAAGAAAAAGGAAAUGAAAGAAACAGAGAUCAAGUAAUGUGGGUGCUUUACUAUCUCUUCCUUUGGAAGAAGAUGCAAAAUACUCCCCAACUAAUCUUCAUUUUGUUCCAGAAAAUAGAGCUAUGACUCUAGUAGAUUUCUUCAGCUUAAAAUUUACUAAAACACUCGGCUGCCUUUUCUUUGUUUUAGGCCCAAGUAUAUAAUAAAGUAAAAUGUAGUUAGGACAAUUUAUCAAGUUUACUAAAAGCUAACAAUGAUUCUAGUUCCAUUUUACUUUUCAUGGUAAUUGAGAAAAUUCAGAAUCAUUUCACUUAUUGUAACGUAAAAAAAUAAAGUUGUCUUUAAUAGAGAUAUAAAGGACUAUAGAGUAUAUAGGACUAUACUGCAUUUGCAGAGAGUGUAUACAGUAUUUAGUCUGAGUUAGUCCUGUGACUGACAAAAACAAAACUAAUUACUUAAAAUUUUACUACAUACUUGUGUUUCAAUUUCCACAUGAUUACAGAACAGAGUUUAUAAGAGACUCUCAAAUUAAUUCUUCCCAUUAAAUAACAUCAAACCCCCACAAAAAUCUAUCUUAAUAUAUGUUUCUUGUGUUAUAUACUUCCUGUUGUGGUCUGUAUGUGGUUUGAAAAAGAAUUUCCAGACUCGGAGCAGGGUGAAGAGAAAGAUGAGUUUAUCGAGACAAGAAAUGCUUCUAGUGAGUGGCCUAGCUUCCUGAUGAUCACGGAGGGCAGACCCCAAGCCUGAGUUCUUCAUCUAUUUUUAUAGCCCAAGAACAAAAGAGAGAGGAAAAAUCUUAUGGUACAUUCGCUGAUUGGUUGGGGACAUAUCUUUCCUAUAGGGUCAGGGAAAGGGUCAAGCUAUAUACCUUUCCUUAUAUGGUCAGGAGCUACAUAGGCCAGGUUGCUCGGGAGGGGCUCAAGAACUUUAUAACAAUUGCAAUGGGGCACAAAGAGCAAAAAAGUUCUGGUCAUUUUUAUCCUGGAAACAUCGUAUCCCAAGACUCUUUGAGUUUAUCAUGUUGGAGAAACCUUGGAGUCCCACAAUUUCUCCCUUCCUUAUAUCAAGGUUUUAAGUAUUGUAAGUAACACUAUAAAAAUAGUUUUUGAGGAACAAGAAAACAUAGACCCAGAUGGAAUUACAUAGUGACUUUUUUACACAGGAUCUAAGAUCUUAACAAAAAUUUAAAAGCUAAGUAUAAAAUUUAAUGUUUGUAUCUCCUAACAAAUAACAAAUAUUUCUAGUUUAUCCAAGUGAUUCUUUAUUUAUGAUAGAAAAAAUGCUACCUCAAGGCCUAGCAUGACAAACUGAAUUCCAGGGAAAUUCCAAAAUUUAAGCUAUCAAAUUGUAUAGUUAAUUUGAGACUGGAAAGUAUAAGCCAUCACCUCUCAAUAUAUGAAGACUAAAAAUUUAGGCAUUCAAACACUUAAGAAGGAAGUGACCUCCUUCUUUUAUUAUAAACAUUUAUUUACAUCCAAAGGAAUUCCAUAAUCAUACCUGCCCUUCUCCUGCCUCCAAACAGUAGUUGAAAAAUAAAAGGAAACUGCUGGAAAUGCAGCUGUAGUGAAAGCUGUGUUCAUUAGUCAGGUGGACCCAAGAGCCAAGGCUUUCAACAGCCAGCUGCAAUUGCUUUUUCCUCUGGCAUUGAUGUUAAAGCAUGCAAAUUUUAUUAGCAUGCAGAAUGAUUUCUCUUCCAUUCAGAGAAGGUCAUAACUUAAGACUUGAAUACUCCAUAUUUUAUUUUUCUUUUCCAAACUGAAAGUUAUUACCAGGACACAUUUAUUGAACCUAACAGGGUUCAGAUUGGGUCUGUGAAAGGUAAAGUUACAUAUGGUACCACCUGGAGGUCUUAGAGAGAGUAAAUUAAAAGGCAAGGACCUAAGUACACAUAAAAGCACACAAAGCUCAGUUACUCAUUUAUUGUUAGGGGUAAUAAAAUGAAACGUAGAAUGUGAGUAAAGAAAAAAAUUACCCUCUUAUAAAGAAGUUCUUAUAUUUUUCAAGCUUUGCAUCAUUUCUCAAUUUGUAAAUUAAAUAUGACUUAUAAACAUAUAUAACAUAAAAGUUCUUAGAAUAAUUGAUAAAGCAGAUGAAAAAUAGGCAAAACUCCCAUGGAUUAUCUUUUAUUACAAGGACUAGAUAUUUCCCUGUUUUUUUCUGAUCUGUAUAUACACCAAAAAUUAAAGGUCCGGAGAGAUUUGGGAAGCAAGCCAGUAACAAAUAGUGCAGCCAAUGAACAAGAGAAAGAUCUCUGUCAUUAACCAGCAAUUUCAUAGCAAUUACUUGUCAAUCUGGAUUGGCUGGCCUACUCCCAUAAUGAAAAUAAAACAAUUGUUUGUUUUUCCAGGUUUCUUUAGGUAUGAUUGACAAAUAAGAAUCAUACUUUUAGUUUGUAUAACAUGAUGUUUUGGGGUUUUAUCAUGGUGUAUAAUGUGAUAAUUUAAUAUACGUUUCCUUUUUGAAAUGAUUACCACAAUCAAUUAAUACAUUCGUUACUUCACAUAGUUAACCUGUGUAUGUGAUGUGUGUUUGAAAGAAUAAUUUAUAUUUAUUCUCUUAUUCAAUUUUAAGUAUAUGAUAGGGUAUGAUUAACAACAAUCACCAUGCUGUAUAUUAUAUCCUUAGAAUUUAUUCAUCUUACAACUGAAAAUUUAUAUCCUUGUACCAAUAUCUCCUAAUCUCUUCCACUGUCCAACUCCCUACAACCCACCAUUCUAAUCUCUGGAUCCGAGUUUCACUUUUUUACAUUCUGCACAUAAAUGAGAUAUUAGAGUGUCUGUCUUUCUGUGUCAGUCUUAUUUCACUUCCCAUAGUGUCCUCCAGAUCCAUUUAUGUUGUUGCAAAUGACAGGAUUCCCUUUUUUUGUUUCUUUCUUUGUUUGUUUGAAUAAUAUUCCAGUGUAUGUGUAUGUGUGUGUAUAUAUGUGUGUGUGUGUAUAUAUAUAUAUGUAUCACAUUGUAUGUGUAUGUGUGUAUAUAUAUAUAUGUGUGUGUAUAUAUAUAU